rnacentral:rRNA from 1 species
AAUCAACGCUGGCGGCGUGCCUAACACAUGCAAGUCGAACGAGAAAGGGGCUUCGGCUCCGAGUAAAGUGGCGCACGGGUGAGUAACACGUAGGUAACCUGCCUCUAAGAUUGGGAUAACAUGUCGAAGACGUGCUAAUACCGAAUAAGACCACGGCUUCCUCGGAAGCAGGGGUCAAAGAUAGCCUCUACUUGUAAGCUAUCACUUAGAGAUGGGCCUGCGUACCAUAGCUAGUUGGUAGGGUAAUGGCCUACCAAGGCAAAGAUGGUUAGCUGGUCUGAGAGGAUGAUCAGCCACACUGGAACUGAGACACGGUCCAGACUCCUACGGGAGGCAGCAGUGGGAAUAUUGCGCAAUGGGCGAAAGCCUGACGCAGCAACGCCGCGUGAGUGAUGAA